CACUCUGAAAAUGAAAAAUAGACAUACAGUUUCAACCGGCGAUGAUAUGAAGUUAAAUAAAAAAUCGACAAGGGUUCGUUAGAACUCUCGGAAAAACAGAUAAAAAAAUUUACGAACAACUUUGGAACAUAAGCUGUAUUACGCCUGUAAACUCAUCUAAUUCCCAAUUCGUCCACGCGUCAAAUCUUCCAAUUCUCAGUGUAUAGUCAAUGCUCGAAUGAUCUAACGCGCAUGCGCUUAAAUUCUGCAGCAAAAGCAGUUGUUGUCAGGAUAACCAACAUUUUUGAGGUUACAUCCAUCGCGGCGACCUGUCAUCUGAACUUACAUCGGUUGGUCGACCUGACAAAACAACUGCUAUGCUCUAGAAUUUUUUGCGCAUGCGCAUUAGACCAUUCGACCGUUAUCUACUCACUCUGUACACCUAUAUCCAUACGUAUUGCAGUUAAGCCCUCGAAUUUCAGGCCGGAUUGUAAUUAAUCCGUGUAUUGUACAAGGAGAUAAAAAAUUUAUUGCGCUCGGAUAUCGAAGUAUCGGCAUUAAACCAGCUAUAUUACUCGUUUGCAAGGUUUACGAAAUUCUGAGAGAAGAGUCAAUUACGUAAACGCAAUACGUAGUCACACAAGUAGGGUAUAAUAGAAAUAGGUAUGUACCUAUACCUGCACGUCGCGUACUUGCUCGUGAGAAUUUCACAGAAGAGAAAAAGCAAACAGAAACACGCGCACGCAUGUAUUACUAUUGAAAAUUUUGUUGCAAUCAUCGUUCUAAGAAACGCGCUGACGCAGAUGAAUAUACGGCAAGUAUUUUAGAUAAGGACAAAGAAUAAUAUUGCGAUAAACAGAAGUAAGUUAAAAAAUUUCUCCCUUGUUUCAGUUGUAAUGCGCGACGUGUGUUGUAUCUACAUCCGAGUUUUGUACGAGUACGACAUUUUGUAUUGCCUGUUUAAGGAGAGAGAAAAAAAUCUUUACACCUACAGCAUAUAUUUUCAACGUUAAAACGACGGGGCAGAUGUGUCAGCGCGGCUGAUUGGCUCAAGGCUUCGUGCAUAGAGGAGGUAUGUAUGCACGAUUAUACGUACUACAUACCGUUGCUGGUCGUGUAAUGUACGUUGACUACCUUGAAAGAGAUUACGCAAUUGUUUAAGUUGGCCUACAGGUAAAACGACCGUAAUGUAAUGUAACCCGGCUUGUUGCAGACGUGUUCUUAUCGACGAAAUACCUGGCCGCAGAUACCCGAGAAAUUCUGGCAUUUCGCAAUGAAUUUUCAUGGUGCUGAAAAAGACAUGGAAAUCAAUCCUUCCAGUACAAUAGCGGCGACGGGACGGUAACACAGAGCGUGAACAUUCCAACUACUUUGCACGCAGCGAUUCAUCCUGCAGUUUUGCAAAAGUUUACGAUCGAUUGUAUACUUGAACGAGAAGAGGAAAAUAUAGAUAACAAAAGAGAUAUUUUUUUUUAGACGUAAUUACCACAUCGAUUGUAUACGAUAAUUAUACGUAGGUACGUAAUUCCGAGUUCUAAGAGUUGUAUACGAGUGUAUAAUAUCCUCUUUAUCUGACGGAUCUUUUCAAUUCCAGGCCCUAUUUAGACCGUGUUACAGGUAUAAUAUUCUUGUGCAAACGAAAACGUUUAAAUAAUACACAAACAAAAAUAAGGAGAACUUGGUAAUUCUCAUAUUUCCGAAGAAUUAUAAUAUCAUGUAUACAAGGGCAGACGAAUACGACGCGGCGACGAUUGAAGAGAAACAAAAAAUACAAAAUCAAGGCAACGCGGAAUAAUAUGGAAGAGAUGGAGGGAAAACCACAGAGUUUGUUAUAUAAACCGAAACGCUGCUAGUCAACCGUGAUUCGGUAAAUGAAAGAUCAUUUAUGUAGUUAAAGAGAAGUUAUAAAUCGCACUGUUUAAUUUUUAUACCGUUCAAAUUAUUAUACUUUAUAUGCACGGGGAUUUUUGCAGGUACGCGCGUCCUUCGUAUUUAUCAAACGUGUAAACGUGACACAUGUUGUGUUGCUCCUAUUUUUUUUCCACACGUUAAUACGUAACAUGUGUAAACGUACUUAUGACUAAAAUGUCGGUUUUCUAUCUACAGAGCCCGACGCGGUUAAAGAUAAGUUACAUCCGCCUAACUCCAGAUUCAAAAAAAAAAAAAGGAAAAAAAAACGUACGUAGGCGGAUGAGUCUUUCUGGUACUAUAA